CCUUGCUGAGCAACUCUUUUGCAUGCUUAAAACACAAACACAACUCUGCUGUCACACCCACCAGGAGCAGCUCACGCAAGGCCACUUGACUGGUGAAGUGUGUCUGAACCAGCUCAAAGCUUGGAAUGUUUGGGGCUAGGGAAGCUGGGGCCUCUCCUGACUCCACAUCCGUGCAGAUGUCUUUCCACUGCUGUGGGAACCACAGCCCUGUGUUUGAGAUUUUGCCAGAUCGGCUACUGAUGGGUGGCUUUGCUGUUUCAGUGUCACAAAUAAAAGAGUCAAAAAGUUUACUACUUCACCUUGUGGUGCUGGAGCCCAGCAUUCUUCCAUUUGAGACGCAUUACCUCCAGCCCAAGCUCAAGAUUUCAUUUGUGUGUUUCUAUUGUUGUUGUUGUAGUUGCUGGGGCUUUUUUGUUUGGUUUGUAUCUGUUGUGAAAAGAGUUCCAUGGUAUUUAUUGAACUUGCCACUUAGCUGAGGAUGACCUUGGACGCACGAGGUCUUCUUAUGUCUACCUCCUAAGUGCUGUGAUGACAAAUGUGUCACUACCAAACCCAGCCCUGUUGACUAUUUAAAAGUAUAGAAUUCAGGGACUGGGAAAGCGGCUCAGUGGGUAAGGGCCUGAGUUCUGUCUCCAGCACCUGUGUAGAUGGUGAACAGGCAGGGUGGCCUACCUGGAAUCCCAUGUGCUCCGGAGGUGGCAACAGGGGACCCCAGAGUAAGCUGGCUCCUGGCAGAGAACCAAUGAAGAAGACAUCCAAUAUUGACUUCUUGCACACAUGUAUGUAUGAAUACCUGCACCCACAUACACACAUACAUGCAUGCUUGUGGAGGUCAGGGGACAGCUUCUGGGAGUCUGUUCUCUCUUUCUAUCAUGUAAGUCCCAUGGAACUCAGGUCACCAGCGAGCAAGAAGGCAGCAGCACCUCUACCCGGCUGGGCUGUCUCCUAACCCCUGUCCAAAACAUUCCGUAAGGUAAUGGUCCAACUGCUUGAGGCCCAUAUGUGUGUGUUGGUGAUCCGCCCACCUAUGACAGGAAGACUGGUCAUUGUAUGCACAGUGGGGGACUCGGGCAGUGUCUGUCUGAUCAUCUUACUUGCUGUGACAUCACUGCCCACGGAUCAGAGGCCCUCAGUGCUGGUUAGUGAAUUUCAUCCCAUCCCACCUUUCUCCAUGACAUGCUUCUCUUUCUCUUGGCUGCAUGGAGACUUGGCUUGUGUGGGGAUGGCCCUCUUGCCUCCUGUUAUUCGCUUUGUAACCCAUGUGUUGCCUCCUGGAGUUUUAUGUGGUGACCAGUUACCAUAUCUGGGUAUCUCAGUGCUCACCUGGAGGUCAGAUGUGGCAUCUCAGUGACCGGCAUUAUUGAUGCUUCCACCAGUCCCUCCUUGGGCUCAGCCUGAGCUUGUGUUAUAGCUGGCACCUUAGGAGAGCUCCAUUAUGCCAGCCUGGGCUUCAGGUGGCCUGGGACAGGACUUUUCACUCUCCCUUCUCCUAUCCUAUGCCUCACUUCCUCCCUAUACUGGUUCAUCCCAGUCUGUGCCAGCAACUUCUGCAAGAGCUACAAGCAUCCCACGCAAGACUGUAUCUCUGACAGCAUGAGAAAGAACAAAAGGAGACACUAGUUGCUUAGCCUCAUUCCGCCCUCUAUCUUUAACUGUCCGUAAAAAGGGACAUUAUCUGGGUCCCUUUGGUCCUCAUCACACGUUCCUGUUGCCCAGGAGGGAGGAACCAGGAAAAGCAAAGCCAGACGUGGGCAGUAUCCAGGCUGGGGCAAGGAUGACCCUCAUGGGCUGAUGGAGGCAGGGAGGUCUGGAGUAGACACACAGCUGACUGCAGGCGCCUGUGCUUCAUGAGGUUGGCCGAAAGUCACCACAGGAGUCUCACCCUGAAGACCCAUCCCAGGGACAUCUUCUCUGUAUCCUGGUUCAGCUGGGAUCCAGUGAGAUCCGGCCCAGCGUCUCCACUGAACCAUGUGAACCUGUGUCACCAUCCAAGAGUCUACUGGUUGAUGAAAGUGAUGAGUCAGCAGGCCCUUUGUCAGUUCUGUGGCUUCACAAUUAAAAUCUGACAGAAGAGAAUUCAUUCUCUCACAGUGUGCCUUGGAUUCAUACUAAAGUCAGCAUUUGUCAUGAGCAUAUUGCUUGUGAAAAGGACAGUUUCCAAUCUUUUGUCCGUUUCUCUGUGACUGUGUCUACCUUUCAAACAAAAUUCAAUUGAAGCCUGGGCGGGGAAGAUGGCCCAACUGAGUAUCUGCUAUGCAAGUAUGAGGAUCUGAGUCCAUAGUCCCAGCAGCCAUGUUAAAAAGCCAGGAGAAGCAGCUCACGUGGAAGGGACAGGGAGAAGGAUCCCUGGAGCUCACUGCCCAGUCUAGCCAAAUCGACAAGCUCUAGGUUCAGUGAGAGACCCGACCUCAAAACAUAAGGUGGAGAGUGAUAGAGGAAGACCCCUGGACUUGAUCUCUGGCCUCCACACGCCCACAGCACACAGCACGCCCCUGUGUGCUCGUAUGCACACUGUCUCGUGAGACAAAUUGAAGCUGGAUAGAAGCUGGUAUUUCCUGUCAUUUCUGAGCAACAUACCAAUAAAAAUGUGUUUGUCCUCCACAAAUGAGAGAAUGGCUUUUUCCUCAGUUGGCAUCUCACUGUGCAUAAAGAAUGGUCCCAGGCUAGGGUCAGGAUCAGAGCCUCCGCUGAACCGUGUGAACCUGUGUCACUGCCCAAGAGUCUGCUGGAUGAUGAAGGUGAUGAGGCAGGUCAGUCCCUUGAAGGCUGCCGGGGAGGGUGUGGCAGAUCCCAGGGAGACACAGAAUGUUCGUUUGCUGUGUUCCCUAUUGAACUCAAAGACUGGGGGACCAGGGAAAGCAGGUCCAGAAUCUCAGAGAAGUCUGGAGGAGGCAAACAAGCCAUGCCUGGCAGGGUAUCGGGUGAGCGUGCCUCUUUGCUGCUCAGAAUGCGUGAGAUCCGACUUGCAGGAUUUCAUAAAUCACAACUGUUUUAGCUUCGAGAGGAGGGAUUGAUUAAGGUCUGAGCCAUCAGGCGUCGAAUGGAUCAGGCUGUCUCUCACCACCUCCCCUUCCCAGACGAGCAAGUCAGCAGUUUUCCGGGAAAGCAGUCUCUACACAUUUAGCAUCAUCACAACGAUUACUGUAAGG
rnacentral:lncRNA from 1 species